UACGGGGGGGGCAAGCGUUGUUCGGAAUUACUGGGCGUAAAGGGCUCGUAGGCGGCCAACUAAGUCAUACGUGAAAUCCCUCAGCUUAACUGGGGAACUGCGUGUGAUACUGGAUGGCUUGGAUUUGGGAGAGGGAUGCGGAAUUCCAGGUGUAGCGGUGAAAUGCGUAGAUAUCGGGAGGAACACCAGUGGCGAAGGCGGUCGUCUGGGCAGAUACUGACGCUGAGGUGCGAAAGCGUGGGGAGCAAACCGG
rnacentral:rRNA from 1 species